GGAUAACUGUGGUAAUUCUAUAGCUAAUACAUGGUCAUUGUGGUCCUCCUGAAUCGUUCCUUAACGGGUUCGAAAAGGCCGCUAUUGUUACAUGUAAACGCACUGGGGUUUUCGUAAUUCCAAGGAAAACUGAUGAAUCACAACAAAUUAGCCGAGCGUAUGGUCUAGAACCGACGCUGUAGCUUUCGAGCGACUGCCUUAUCAGCUUUCGAUUGUAGGGUAUUGGCCUACAAUGGCUAUAACGGGUAACGGGGAAUCAGGGUUCGAUUCCGGAGAGGGAGCCUGAGAAACGGCUACCACAUCUAAGGAAGGCAGCAGGCGCGCAAAUUACCCACUCUCAGCACGGGGAGGUAGUGACAAAAAAUAACGAUGCGUGUCUCUUUCUGAGGCCUCGCAAUCGGAAUGGAUUUAUACUUAAAUCACUGAAUGAGGAGCAAUUGGAGGGCAAGUCUGGUGCCAGCAGCCGCGGUAACUCCAGCUUCAGUAGCGUAAGUAAACGUUGCUGCGGUUAAAAAGCUCGUAGUUGGACCUUGGGUGCGGACGGGCGAUUCACGCAUUGGUGUUCUAGCGGCUGAAAAGGUAACACUUGGACGCCAAUAGGAUGCGGUGUCUGAUAUUAACGCUCGAUUCAUCCGUCACUUUAUUACACGCUCUGUCGGUUUUUUAUGUGUGUUGGGCGCCUUUAUCGGGUGUCCUAGCUCACGUGGCCGACUAAGUCACUUUGCAAAAAUAAGAGCGAUUAAAGCAGGCUUGAUGCCAUGAAUAUUGAUGCAUAGUACGAGAGAAUAGGACUUUGUCUCUGUUUGGUGCACAGAUUGAUAAAGUAAUGAUUAAGAGAGACAGACGGGGACGUUCGUACUGCGGCGUUAGAGGUGAAAUUCUUGGAUCGCUGCAAGACGAACUACAGCGAAGGCAUUCGUCCAGAACGCUUUCAUUAAUCAAGAACGAAAGUUAGAGGAUCGAAGGCGAUCAGAUACCGCCCUAGUUCUAACCGUAAACGAUGCAAACCGGCUUUUAGUCGGUGUUAUACCCAAACACCCGAUUAGCAACCCCCGGGAAACCAGAGUUUUUGUGUUCCGGGGGGAUGUAUGGUUGCAAGGCUGAAACUUAAAGGAAUUGACGGAAGGGCACCACCAGGAGUGGAGCCUGCGGCUUAAUUUGACUCAACACGGGGAAACUUACCAGGACAGGACAUCGGAAGGACUGACAGAUUUGAAGCUCUUUCUCGAUUCUAUGGGUAGUGGUGCAUGGCCGUUCUUAGUUGGUGGAGUGAUUUGUCUGGUUAAUUCCGAUAACGAACGAGAUUUUGCCCUGCUAACUAGUCUGCAGAUUAACACAGGUUCGCGCAAGCGUUCUUGGAACCCCAUGGUGUGUCGACUCUCCGAGAUCCGCUAUGAUUGCAUGCGUUGUUUGCAUUGCAUUCAUGUCAUUGCAUUCAUGAGUGUUGGUCUCCGGGUGUUUUGCUGCCUAUUGGGGUGUCUGCAUUGAUCUUCUUAGAGGGAUCGGCAUCGUAUAGUUGCACGAGAUUGAGCAAUAACAGGUCUGUAAUGCCCUUAGAUGUCUUGGGCUGCACGCGCGCUACAAUGGAGAGAUCAACGCGUUGUUUCCUACUCCGAGAGUAGUUGAGAACCCGCUGAAAUCUCUCCUCAAUUGGGAUUGCGGCUUGCAACUUUUCCUCAUGAACGAGGAAUUCCUGGUAAGCGUCAAUCAUCAGUUCACGAUGAUUACGUCCCUGCCCUUUGUACACACCGCCCGUCGCUACUACCGAUUGAAUGAUUCAGUGAGGCCAUUGGACUGGCGCCCUAGAAUAGGAGCAAUCCUUUCGUGGGUCGACGGGAAGAUUUCCAAACUGGAUCAUUUAGA
rnacentral:rRNA from 1 species